GGACAAACUGUGGCUCAGUGACAGAGCACCCACCUUCCAUGCAGAAGGUCCCAGGUUCAAUUCCUGGCAUCUCCA
rnacentral:tRNA from 1 species